rnacentral:precursor_RNA from 12 species
GGAAAAGAAGAUCCACUGAGAUGGUGGGGCUAGCCCUUGUCCUUCUGCCUUAGAAAUGCUACUAAGACAGAAAGUAAGGGUUGGCUCCAUCAUUUCACAGCACAACACGCUCCGG